AGCCGUGUGAUGAACACAUAGCGAACUAUUCUUUCGCCUUUUACUAAAGAAUACCGUGUGAGCGUCACAAUGAGUGGCAUACGUUAGUUUUUGGAAGAGUUCUCUUUAUGGAGGGCU
rnacentral:snRNA from 2 species